rnacentral:rRNA from 1 species
UCGUGACCUGCGGAGGAUCAUUAUCGAGUUCUGAAACGGGUUGUAGCUGGCCUUCCGAGGCAUGUGCACGCCCUGCUCAUCCACUCUACACCUGUGCACUUACUGUGGGUUUCAGGAGCUUCGAAGCGAGGGUUUAACCGCUCUCGCCGAGUUGUUACUGGGCCUACGUUUAUCACAAACUCUUGAAAGUAUCAGAAUGUAAACGCGUCUAACGCAUCUAUAUACAACUUUCAGCAACGGAUCUCUUGGCUCUCGCAUCGAUGAAGAACGCAGCGAAAUGCGAUAAGUAAUGUGAAUUGCAGAAUUCAGUGAAUCAUCGAAUCUUUGAACGCACCUUGCGCUCCUUGGUAUUCCGAGGAGCAUGCCUGUUUGAGUGUCAUGAAAUUCUCAACCUAACAAGUUCUUAACGGGGCUUGCUUAGGCUUGGACUUGGAGGCUUGUCGGCUCUUUAGCAGUCGGCUCCUCUCAAAUGCAUUAGCUUGGUUCCUUGCGGAUCGGCUCACGGUGUGAUAAUUAUCUGCGCCGCGACCGUUGAAGCGUUUAAUGGCCAGCUUCUAAUCGUCUCUUGCGAGACAGCUUUCAUCGAACUCUGACCUCAAAUCAGGUAGGACUACCCGCUGAACUUAAGCAUAUCAAUAAGCCGGAGGAA